rnacentral:rRNA from 1 species
UACGUAGGGGGCAAGCGUUGUCCGGAAUCAUUGGGCGUAAAGAGCGUGUAGGCGGUUCGGUAAGUCGGCUGUGAAAGUCCAGGGCUCAACCCUGGGAUGCCGGUCGAUACUGCCGGACUAGAGUCCGGAAGAGGAGAAUGGAAUUCCUGGUGUAGCGGUGAAAUGCGUAGAUAUCAAGAGGAACACCUGCGGCGAAGGCGGGUUGCUGGGCCGACACUGACGCUGAGGCGCGAAAGCUAGGGGAGCGAACGGG